rnacentral:rRNA from 1 species
CCUACGGGUGGCAGCAGAGGGGAAUAUUGGGCAAUGGGCGCAAGCCUGACCAGCAACGACGCGUGAAGGAAGAAGGCUUUAGGGUUGUAAACUUCUUUUCCCAGGGACGAAGCAAGUGACGGUACCUGAGGAAUAAGCCACGGCUAACUACGUGCCAGCAGCCGCGGUAAUACGUAGGUGGCAAGCGUUAUCCGGAUUUACUGGGUGUAAAGGGCGUGUCGGCGGGACUGCAAGUCAGAUGUGAAAACCACGGGCUCAACCUGUGGCCGGCAUUUGAAACUGGAGUUCUUGAGUACUGGAGAGGCAGACGGAAUUCCUAGUGUAGCGGUGAAAUGCGUAGAUAUGAGGAGGAACACCAGUGGCGAAGGCGGUCUGCUGGACAGCAACUGACGCUGAGGCGCGAAAGCGUGGGGAGCAAACAGGAUUAGAUACCCGAGUAGUC